rnacentral:rRNA from 1 species
UGAGUAACGCGUAUGCAACCUACCUAUCGAGACGGGGAAUAACCCGGCGAAAGUCGGACUAAUACCGCAUAAACAGGGGCACCGCAUGUGAUAUUGUUAAAGAAUUCGCUGAUAGAUGGGCAUGCGUUCCAUUAGGUAGUUGGUGAGGUAACGGCUCACCAAGCCGACGAUGGAUAGGGGAACUGAGAGGUUGGUCCCCCACACUGGUACUGAGACACGGACCAGACUCCUACGGGAGGCAGCAGUGAGGAAUAUUGGUCAAUGGGCGGGAGCCUGAACCAGCCAAGUCGCGUAGAAGGAAGAAGGAUCUAUGGUUCGUAAACUUCUUUGCAGGGGAAUAAAGUGCAGGACGUGUCCUGUUUUGUAUGUACCCUGAGAAUAAGGAUCGGCUAACUCCGUGCCAGCAGCUGC